rnacentral:rRNA from 1 species
AUUGAACGCUGGCGGCAGGCUUAACACAUGCAAGUCGAGCGGGGGAAGGUAGCUUGCUACCGGACCUAGCGGCGGACGGGUGAGUAAUGCUUAGGAAUCUGCCUAUUAGUGGGGGACAACAUCUCGAAAGGGAUGCUAAUACCGCAUACGUCCUACGGGAGAAAGCAGGGGAUCUUCGGACCUCGCGCUAAUAGAUGAGCCUAAGUCGGAUUAGCCAGUUGGUGGGGUAAAGGCCUACCAAGGCGACGAUCUGUAGCGGGUCUGAGAGGAUGAUCCGCCACACUGGGACUGAGACACGGCCCGGACUCCUACGGGAGGCAGCAGUGGGGAAUAUUGGACAAUGGGGGGAACCCUGAUCCAGCCAUGCCGCGUGUGUGAAGAAGGCCUUAUGGUUGUAAAGCACUUUAAGCGAGGAGGAGGCUACUCUAGUUAAUACCUAGGGAUAGUGGACGUUACUCGCAGAAUAAGCACCGGCUAACUCUGUGCCAGCCGCCGCGGUAA